UACGGAGGGGACUAGCGUUGUUCGGAAUUACUGGGCGUAAAGCGCACGUAGGCGGAUUUGUAAGUCAGGGGUGAAAUCCCGGGGCUCAACCUCGGAACUGCCUUUGAUACUGCAAAUCUCGAGUCCGGAAGAGGUGAGUGGAAUUCCUAGUGUAGAGGUGAAAUUCGUAGAUAUUAGGAAGAACACAAGUGGCGAAGGCGGCUCACUGGUCCGGUACUGACGCUGAGGUGCGAAAGCGUGGGGAGCAAACAGG
rnacentral:rRNA from 1 species